GCCUGGGUGGCUCAGUCAGUUGAGCGUCUGACUUCAGUUCAGGUCACGAUCUCACAGUUUGUGAGUUUGAGCCCCGCGUCAGGCU
rnacentral:tRNA from 1 species